rfam:Brachypodium distachyon strain Bd21 chromosome 1, whole genome shotgun sequence.
UAAGUACUCUCUCUGACCAACAAAGGAUGUCUCAGUUUUGAUUAAAUUUGAAUGUAUCUAUACACUAAAUUACAUCUAGAUACAUUUAAAUUUUGACAAAUUUGAAACAUCUUUUGUUGGACGGAGGGAGUAGGAC